GAGCAGAGAGAGAGAGAGAGAGAACGCGAGCGAUCAAACUGAGUGUUUCUUCAGAGGCUGCUGCACUUUUGCACGUGCGUGUGUGUUGCUGUCUCGCUGCUGCUAGAAGCACUACUGAAUGCCAAAGCACCUGUCCGAGCAGCGCCAUGCAAAAGCACUCAAAGAAACACUCGAACCCAAACUGAGCUGUG